UGGAACCUACGGGGCGCAGCAGUGAGGAAUAUUGGUCAAUGGGUGGGAGCCUGAACCAGCCACGUCGCGUGAAGGAAGAAGGUACUUAGUAUUGUAAACUUCUUUUGUCGGGGAACAAAGGCGGAGACGCGUCUCCUGAUGAGUGUACCCGAAGAAAAAGCAUCGGCUAACUCCGUGCCAGCAGCCGCGGUAAUACGGAGGAUGCGAGCGUUAUCCGGAUUUAUUGGGUUUAAAGGGUGCGCAGGCGGGAGAUCAAGUCAG
rnacentral:rRNA from 1 species